rnacentral:rRNA from 1 species
GUGCCAGCAGCCGCGGUAAUACGAAGGGGGCUAGCGUUGCUCGGAAUCACUGGGCGUAAAGCGCACGUAGGCGGCUUGUUAAGUCAGGGGUGAAAUCCUGGAGCUCAACUCCAGAACUGCCUUUGAUACUGGCGAGCUUGAGUUCGGGAGAGGUGAGUGGAACUGCGAGUGUAGAGGUGAAAUUCGUAGAUAUUCGCAAGAACACCAGUGGCGAAGGCGGCUCACUGGCCCGAUACUGACGCUGAGGUGCGAAAGCGUGGGGAGCAAACAGGAUUAGAAACCCGUGUAGUCC